AGUCAUCUCUGUGGUAAAGUGCGGCUAGUGCCCAACUGCCAGGGUACUCAUUUGGACAUCCUCCAAAACUUGGUGGCUAAUACACGAUUGCCCAGGUCUGCCAUGACACAUAACCUGGUUUGAGACAGCUGGCACCCCAAUGGGCCAAAGUCUCCGGGUGGUUGGAUUGCACCCAGCCGUCCAUGAAGACCAGCGUCCGGCAAGGACAGUGUGUCUGGCUGACUCAGGCUGGUCCCUCUGAGGACUGUUUGUGCUGGCGGAAGAGAGAGGUGGCUUCUAAAGCCAUAUCAUGCACUGCUUGAUCACAUGGAACUUCUGACCUAUCAGCCUUGACUGUGGUGCAGUGGACCACAAUGGCAUUAACGGGUAACGGAGAAUCUGGGUUUGAUUCCGGAGAGGGAGCCUGAGAGACGGCUACCACUACCAAGGUGGGCAGCAGGCGCGCAAAUUGCCCAAUACCAACACCAUGGGUGAGGCAGCAACGGUCAGCAGCAAUUCUGCCAGCACCUGUUGCUGGUGGAACUUGGAAUGGAUGCUAUCCAAAGUCCGCUA
rnacentral:rRNA from 1 species